AUGGAUAAAAUUCGCGCCAAAGCGUUAUCGUAGAUUAACCAAUCAGAGCUCGGUUAAGAGUUUGUGACGUACGUUUAAAGCGCUAUACGUUGAGUUGUGUCGGCCGCCGCCAUGCCAUGCGGUCAUCGUGGAACUGACGUGACUAUCUUUUACGUGCAAUAUCAUAGAGUAAAUCGUUAAGAAAAUAAAAUAUUUUUGUUGAUCUAUAUUCUCCGUGUGUGUUAAUGUGACGAUAAGGUAUUAUAAUCGUUAACGUGAGUUCGUCGUUAAACGACAAGUGACGUGUUCUUGUGAAAUAGAAGACGUAGGACCCGCUCCCUGUCGGUUAGAAAUUGGCUAACGGCGGUAGAGAUUUGAAUCCGUCGUUUAGUGAAACGAAGAAAUCGUUGAGGAUGCAGCUUGACGAAUGUUUAGAAUUACCUAAUACUGUAAUAACACCGCACAUCAGAAGAGUUGCCACUUCUGAUCUCAACCCUAGCAGGCCUAGCAGCUGAUUUUGAUGGGAGUACUUCCGUCUAGACACCAACCUUGAUGACUAUGACGAUGCCUCUCAGCAUAUAUUCCACUACCACUAAUACCCUAUUAUUACUAAUUGUAAGAAAGAAUGAAAGAGAGAAAGAAAAUAGACUCUUAUUUUACAAAAGAAAUUUGAAAAACGAUGAGAACCAUCGAGACAUCUAAGAAAGAAAGAAAUGAACAAAAAAA